AGGUGAGGUAGAGGUGCGAUAUUUAACAGUCCUUUUUGGAGCAUGAGCAGCGAGGAAAACAAGGAGAAGGAAAUAUCGCCGAAGCUUUUAAUACGCUCAGUAUUAUGGGCUGGGUCUGCAGUGAACAACUGCAGAACUGUCUCAAUAGACGUCCCGGUUUAUUGAGUUGUGCUAUCUCGGCG
rfam:Desulfitobacterium hafniense Y51 DNA, complete genome.